GCUGGGAAUAGAGGCAUACUCCUGUAAUCCCAGGGACUUGGGAGGCUGAGGCAGGAGGAUUGCAAGUUUGAAAACAGCCUCAGGAACUUAGUGAUGCCCUAAGCAACUUAGCAAGACCCUGUCUUAU
rnacentral:sRNA from 1 species